AUCAAGUUAUAUAACAAUAUGUCAUUCAGGCUCUUCCAGGCCCAAGGAUUUAAUGUCUUCAAUGGUUAUGGGAGAAUUAAGAUUUUCUACUUCUGUUGAAUUUGAAACCCAAUUUUGAAGUGUCCAGUUCCAUACAACAUGCCAUGAUCAGGCUGUUUCUCUUAACCUUGGAUAGUCAAUGUCCAGGUUCCCUUUCCACUAUCAGCAGCCAAGUGAGCCAG